ensembl:lincRNA Gm26722 predicted gene, 26722
CCUUUCGCCAGUUAUCACCAAGUGGUAAUAAAGGCACUGACUCUUAAGUCUAUACUUUAAAAGUAGGGGUUCCAAUGAAAAACACUCGUCAGAUACAAGCUCUCUGUAAACAGUUCAAGUGUGUUUUAAAUUUAAACUCUGCCUUAAGCUGUCUAUCACACUGCCUUUGAGAUUCUUGGAAACCUAUGUAGCUCUCGGGAGAAGACUUCAAGAAUAUGUAAUUUUACCAAGGCUAGUUUGUGUACUCUAUUCAGUAAUGUCUUCAAUUUCCCUGACUGGAGUAAAGCUCUCUUUUAUCUAUGGUUAUUGGUCUAUUAUGUUUAUUACAAUCUUGAUAGUCAAAACUACAGAAAACAACUGUCAUCGAACAAACUCUUCCAGAAGCCAUAGACUGUUGUCUGAUGGAUACUAAAUAAAACCCACCAGCAUGGGGCUAUAUAGAAAAGCAAUUUAUUCCAUUAUAAGCACUUACACAGUUAGUCAUGGAGAGUAACAGGCCUGAUGGUGAGACAGGUCAACCAAAAUGGAGAUGGCAUCAAACUAUAGUGGUCAAAGACUAACCCCUAAAAAAGCAACUUUUAUCAAGGAUUAAUUUAAUCUUAAAAACAAACACAAACUAGCAAUCCACUCUUUCUCAACUUGACAGUUCACCAGUGGAACAACUGCCAGGUAAAAACAUACAUCUUUACAACUUGGUGGUCCCAAGUUUAAAAAAAGAAAGAAAGAAAAAAGGAAAGAAAGAAAAAGAAAGGAAGGAAGGAAAAACCACACACAACAAAAACCAGACUUUGUUCAGCUAAAGUAUACCCAUACACAUAAAAUAAAUAAAUUAAAAAGAAAAGGUCAGAAAUCAUUACACUCAGUACCUGUCUUUGAAAAAUGUAGACAGUAACUUUGCUAAGCUGGGUGGCACUCAGGAAGCAGAGGCAGGAAAAUCUCUUUGAAUUUGAAGUCAACCUGGUCUACAGAGGGGAUCAGAAGACAGCUGUUCCCAAAACACCCCUGACCCAAAUAACUUCAGGGAUAGGGUAACUAACAUAAAACUCAC